GUGCUGGUGAGCAGCUCUCUACCCUCGCUGAGCAGGUCUCUGGCACAAAUAUCGCAGUGACCACCAAGUUAGAACCCCAAUAACCAUCAUCUGCUCCAGCUUGAACCCCAAACUGCAAGUAUAGAUUCGACACCGCAUCUUGCAGGCAAAGCUUUUCUUGUCGUCGGACUUCUUCUCGCCCAGGUGUGGCGGCAGAACAGUUUCAAAGGCCUGGACAAGCAUCUCCACCUUCCUCUUCUGAGCACGGGCCAACUUGUUCACUGUCCUCCGAAGCGCAUAAUCGACCAUCCACUCCUCGGCAUUCUUGCGAUCAUCGGUCAUCUGAUGCCUGAGAUCAACCUUUUCAGCAUCUGGAUCAGGCACCACCGGAAGAAAGUUCGGGGCCCUGGGGUUGAAUGCCCGGAUUCGCUCCCCGCCUCUAGGUGUUCUUCUCCUGGACAUGGUCAACUUGUUCCCCUGGCUGGUUGCCGCGGCAUCAGCACCUACAUCCUCGAAAUUCAUCCCACCAAACGCACUGGAUAUGUCAUCCAUUGAGGAUUCCACUGAAGAGCCACCACCACCGCCGCAAGCUGCAGAAUUGCAACAUCAUUCGCCGUCGAUCAAAAAAUUAUGUUUCUGGAAUUCAUUCAAUGUGGUGGAAACUAGAAAGGAACAAGCAAUUUCAGGAAGAGAAAUUUCACCUUUA